rnacentral:rRNA from 1 species
GUGCCAGCAGCCGCGGUAAUACGGAGGGUGCGAGCGUUAUCCGGAAUCACUGGGUUUAAAGGGUGCGUAGGCGGGAUAUUAAGUCAGUGGUGAAAUCUUGUCGCUUAACGAUAAAAUUGCCAAUGAUACUGGUAUUCUUGAAUUGGGUUGAGGUUAGCGGAAUGUGGCAUGUAGCGGUGAAAUGCAUAGAUAUGCCAUGGAACACCAAUUGCGAAGGCAGCUAGCUGGGCCUUGAUUGACGCUGAGGCACGAAAGCGUGGGUAGCGAACAGGAUUAGAUACCCUGGUAGUCCACGCCCUAAACGAUGCUAACUCGAUGUUUGGAGUGAGAACUUUGAGCAUCCAAGGGAAACCGAUAAGUUAGCCACCUGGGGAGUACGACCGCAAGGUUGAA